AAGAUACUAGUAUAACCGAAAUACACUGCCUUGUCAAGGCAGAAUUGUGGGUUAAAUCCCCGCGUAUCUUG
rnacentral:tRNA from 1 species